UAGAGGUGGAUGUAUCUAGCUUAUUACAAUCUGCAGAAUUUGACUCCAGACGAAAAGCGCUCUUAGAAAAGAGGAACGCUGAGAAAUUAGCAAUGCAAAAGGUUAUGUACAACACGGCCUCAGAUGUUUUCAAAGACUUGUUCACCAGUGCAGCCAAUGAAGCAAGGUUAAAGACUGCCUGAACAAGAUGUAAGCAAUGAAAUGGAGGAUGAUCCUGUGCCAACACAGAAAGGCUGGAGAAGAUUCUUUUGUUGUGUCAAAGCAAAGAAACAACAGCAGAAGCAAGAGAAGAAAGAGAGGUUAGGAUUACUUACCAGACUGCCCCGAUUGUUUAACCGUCAUUAAAUUGUGUGAAUUCUCUAGUUUCUAGUUUAUCUUGAAUCUGAAGAAAACAUUUCACUGAUUCAAAGAAAUUAAAUAAUGUGUUCCGUUCACUCACUGU